rnacentral:rRNA from 1 species
AGCAGCCGCGGUAAUUCCAGCUCCAAUAGCGUAUAUUAAAGUUGUUGCAGUUAAAAAGCUCGUAGUUGAAUUUCGGGGUCAGUAGGUUGGUCGUGCCACCGGUACGUACUGGUCUCACUGAUUCCUCCUUCCUGAUGAGCUGUAAUGCCAUUAAUUUGGUGUUGCAGGGAAUCUGGGCUGUUACUUUGAAAAAUUAGAGUGUUUAAAGCGGGCUAACGCUUGAAUACAUUAGCAUGGAAUAAUGAAAUAGGACGUUCGAUCCUAUUUUGUUGGUUUCUAGGAUUGACGUAAUGAUUAAUAGGGAUAGUUGGGGGCAUUAGUAUUCAAUUGUCAGAGGUGAAAUUCUUGGAUUUAUUGAAGACUAACUACUGCGAAAGCAUUUGCCAAGGAUGUUUUCAUUAAUCAAGAACGAAAGUUAGGGGAUCGAAGACGAUCAGAUACCGUCGUAGUCUUAACCAUAAACUAUGCCGACUAGGGAUCGGAUGAUGUUAAUUUUUAAUGACUCAUUCGGCGCCUUAAC